rnacentral:lncRNA from 1 species
UUUAAAUAAUAUUUUACUUUGAAGUGUUGCCUUUGAUAAUUAAGAAUAAAUGUCUCAAGUUACUUGGAUGUCUCAUUUUCAUGUUUGUCACCUCAUAAAAAAGACAUCAUUCUUAUCAAAUACAAUAAUAAUUUUUUAAAUAUAUUUUUCUCCUCUUCAAGUAAACUAUAAUAAUAAAAAUAACAAACCUAAUCUAUUUAAACUUUGAUUUGAAUUGUAUUUAAUGAAUGAAAAGAAUACAUAUAUUAUACUUAACCUACACAAUUUUAUGGUGACAACUUUAUUCUUUUCGAAUCACCGUCAAAAUUUUGGUUGAAACAACCACCAUAUACACCAACACCUCCACCUCCAUGUCCACCUGCACUUCCACAUCCAGCUCCAACUUUGCGGCCACCAAAACUGUAAACCCAUUUAUUUUCUUUUAUGUUUUUGCAUUCAAACGCUCCUAUCAUCAAUGCAAAUAUCAAAGCAAGUACUACAACAAACUUGAGUAAAAUUCUCAUCUUAAGACAGAAAAUAGUAAUAGAGGUGAAAACAAUUGGUGUGCUCUU